ACCUGGGCUCCCUCUUCUUCCACGGCCACAGCCUGGGGUUGCUGCCGGCUAGACGAAUAAUUACGUGCAGGCUGCCACGACAAAGGGUUUGACUCCUACACCAAUCUCAUCAAGGCUGCUGUUCUUGACACUCCUGAUGUUGUUUUUCAGAGCAAUGCCACGCUAAGAACGGUCUCAGAUCUGUGCGGCGGAGUGUCUGCACAGGCACACCAGGUGGAGAUCGACCACAAUCAUCUGAGCAACCCAUAGAGCAGCAGAUUGACCCCAGAGUACCAGGGUGGACGUUUAGGUCAGCUAUGCAUUUUUGUGUGGUUCAGAAUUAUAUGAUGACCCAUCUAAGUCUGUGGUUACACUUUGGUACAAAUGCACAGUCAGGAUUGGGGCUGAAGCAGGCAGAGCGCCAUGCCAAAAUAGGAUUUCAGCAAUGGAGAAAUCAAUCCGGGGGUUUGCCGAACAUCCUAGUGACAAUGUCAUUGUGCCAAAAUUAGGGACUAGCUUCCACACACUGGGUGAAGCUUACGAUUUUUACAAUCUGUAGUCAUGGGAGAAAGGUUUUGGCAUCUCAAAUUUCUUCCUUUGAAACAGACGCUCGAUGCAAUAAGUGAGUCGUUGAUCGACCUCCCAAUGAUGGAAGUAGCACUGUGUUUGGUGAGAGGUGGGAUGAACUGCCUGGAAGAAAAUUAUGUUACCCUUGCAAACUAUGGAUAAGGGGUGUCAUCCGGUACCCUCUCAGCCUUCAGUCUCCGAACUUAUAUUACAGUUUU